GAUGAACGCUGGCGGCGCGCCUAACACAUGCAAGUCGAACGAUUAAAGCACCUUCGGGUGUGUAUAAAGUGGCGAACGGCUGAGUAACACGUGGGCAACCUGCCCCUUUCAUUGGGAUAGCCACGGGAAACCGUGGAUAAUACCGAAUACUUCGAGACUUCCGCAUGGAAGACUCGAGAAAGCUCCGGCGGAGAGGGAUGGGCCCGCGGCCUGUUAGCUUGUUGGUGGGGUAACGGCCUACCAAGGCAAUGAUGGGUAGCUGGGUUGAGAGGCCGACCAGCCAGAUUGGGACUGAGACACGGCCCAGGCUCCUACGGGAGGCAGCAGUGGGGAAUCUUGCACAAUGGGCGGAAGCCUGAUGCAGCGACGCCGCGUGCGGGAUGAAGGCCUUCGGGUUGUAAACCGCUUUCAGCAGGGACGAGGCGAAAGUGACGGUACCUGCAGAAGAAGCCCCGGCUAACUACGUG
rnacentral:rRNA from 1 species